GGCCCAGGAUAGUACCCCUAGUAGAUUGCUUGUUUUUUUUUCUUUUGUGCAUCAUCAUGGCAUCAUGCAUCAUAUCAUCCGCAUGAUUUUAUCAAAUAAAAACUAUUUUGAAAUAACAACUAUUUUAUCUUUCUCUCAUAUGGUUUUAUUAAACCCUCCCUUAUCUUUUCUUUUAAUAAAACCCCCUCUCUGGCCCAUCUAUCCCUCUCUCCCUGCAGGCCCAACUCCUCUCUCUUCAGGCCUACUCUUUCUUUAUGGGUUCCUCUCUUCCUCUCUCUGGCCCAACUCCCUUUCAACCCGGCUCAGCCCACCUUACCUGCUCCAUGAUGGGACAGGCUCCUCCGGUUGCUGUCCUUUUCUCCUUCACGCACAGAGCGUGCUAGCUUUUUCUCCACCAACACCGUGGUCCUCCUCCCCACCUCCACGCCAAGCGCAUGAGCGUCCCCUCUCUUCCUUAUCCUCUCUACAAGGCUGCAACCACCCAGUACCCCUCACACACGCCUCUCUUCCCUCUGCCUUUCUUCUUCCUCACGAAAGAAUAGAAGAAGGAGAAAACCCCAACGCUGGUGUCCCUGCAUCUCCGUCACGCCACCAUCUCCGGUGACCCCGCGCCGCGCCAACGCCACCAGGAGGAGCGCCAUAUCUUCCUCGCCCUCCUCACCAAGUGAAUCGUCCUGGGAGGCCCUGGAACGUCGUCACUUUCACCGAUUCCGUCUCCGGUUGCCGGCGUUCUUCUUCGAAUUCCGGCUGGUAUGGUCCUCCUCCGCCCGUGCUGUGCACGUCUUAGGCUUCCUGGUGAUGUACUCGUUCUCCCGGACCUCCCCUUCUUCUCCUACGCGCUUCCUUUUGGCUUACCGACGUUCGCCGUCCCUCACCUCCGCAGGUCCUCGCCGCCGGCAGUACUCCGGCAAGCUUCCGGCACCAACUCCACCAGAUCCUGGUCGCCCGCGUCAAGGCGCACCUCCGACACCAUCGCCCUCGCCUUGAUUCGGUCCAAAUCGACCUAUCCAUCUCCGACCUGAUCCUCUGCCAUUGAUGCUGUGGGCAAGCUCGUCCCCGCCUUCCGUCUAUUCUUCUUUGCGUGUACCACUCACUCGACAAGAACUGCAGCAUAGCCCAGUGGUGGGGCCCGUUUGUCAGCGACCAACAGAUCCACCUCAUCGCCCGACAUCCCAGUCAGCGCCUUGUCACCUCCCUGGCCCGCUCGUCAGUCCCUGUGGCUGGGUGCUGCUCGCAUUUGCUUCUUCUCGGAUAGGAUCGCGAAGUGGUGAUGUGAGAUACGAC